rnacentral:rRNA from 1 species
UACGAAGGGGGCUAGCGUUGUUCGGAAUUACUGGGCGUAAAGCGCACGUAGGCGGACUAUUAAGUCAGGGGUGAAAUCCCGGGGCUCAACCCCGGAACUGCCUUUGAUACUGGUAGUCUCGAGUCCGGAAGAGGUGAGUGGAAUUCCGAGUGUAGAGGUGAAAUUCGUAGAUAUUCGGAGGAACACCAGUGGCGAAGGCGGCUCACUGGUCCGGUACUGACGCUGAUGCGCGAAAGCCAGGGGAGCGAACGGG